rnacentral:rRNA from 1 species
GACGAACGCUUGCGGCGUGCCUAAGAAAUGCAAGUCGAGCGGAGAGAGAGAUUCGUCUCUCUCUUAGCGGCGAACGGUCGCGUAACACGUAAGCAACCUGCCCCGAAGACCGGGACAACAGCCCGAAAGGGCUGCUAAUACCGGAUGUGGCCACUUUGAGACAUCUCAGGGUGAUUAAAGCGCGCUAGUAAUAGUGGCGGCUUCGGGAGGGGCUUGCGGCCUAUCAGCUAGAUGGUGGGUAACGGCCUACCAUGGCGACGACGGGUAGCUGGUCUGAGAGGACGGCCAGCCGGACUGGGACUGAGAUACGGCCCAGACUCCUACGGGGGGCGA